rnacentral:lncRNA from 1 species
UGGCAUCAUAAACUAAUGCACCAAGUUUAUGGAUUCUCCACCAAUGAAUAAAAAAUAAAAUAAAAACAAAAGCAGAUAUCAGAAAAAUGAUAUUCCUUUGUGCAAUAAAGAAUCUGAGCGUGUAGUUGAAGAAGACACCGUAGCAAGGGCGGUGGAUGUGGCGGAGUCAUCACUCGUCACUCGACUGCGACACCCUUCUCUGCCCAAU